GGGUGAAACUACGCCUUUACUAAUGCCAUGACUCACCCUUACGAGACAUUCAUACAAGACAGGAAAAGACAAUGGCCUAUGAAAGAUUUCUAAGAGCCUUCUCCAAUACCAAUACUCUGACUGUUCCUCUGAAGACUGUUUAUCCCGAGUGAUGCAUCCUGGAAGAUUUGGAGGCCUGGCGUGCUGCGAUUCAUGGGGUCGCAAAGAGUCGGACACGACUGAGCGACUGAACUGAACUGAACUGAACUGAAGAGAUAAUCCCAGAAUUACUGAUAAAGCAUUAUGUACUCACUGUCAGCAUUCCAUGAAAAUACAUAUGGGAAUUACUAUAAAAGGCAGUGGCACCCAUUUUACAUGGAAACUUCACAGGCUUAAAUGUGAGCACAGCACUUCACUCAGCUCUCAGGAAUUCUUAAAAGUAGGAGAAUCACCCUUGUCUUCCUCUUCCUCCAUUCCAUUCACUGAAUAUGGUUACGACAGCUGGAGCUCUGGCAGCCUUAUUGCACAAUGAUGAGCUCCACAGAAUAAAAGGAGAGAAGCUGUGAACUAGAGACAGUCUGGCUUCCUGAUGAUGUUAUAGAACUGCCAUGCCAGCUUUGUAUUGCUCACCUUACCUCUGGAUUUUUAUGUGAGAGAAAUAAACUUAUCUGUAG
ensembl:lncRNA